AUAGCUCAACAUGGUGGAGUUCCAAUGAAGUGCAGUCUUCACAGUCUCUACCGAAAAAUUUAACCUCAGAAGUGGUAUUUCAACCUCCGCCCUGUCAGCAGAUGAAGCCUCUUGGUCUGGGAUUACAAGGCGACGACUCAUACUCCACCCAAUCAAAUAGUAACUCCCCGCUAGAAGUGACUGCUUUGGGGAAAACAGGUUCUCGAGAUCAAUGCGCUUCUUCUGGAUCUGUUCACGACGAGAGCUACAAAAGGAAUAAGCAAGCUCAAAUCAAGACUAAUCCUUUUAUUAGAUAUCCAGAAUAUCCCACCGAUUGUUCACAAAGUGAAAUGGCCCAUUCAAUUAGCCACGCUCCUUUUGGUUACUCCGACCCCUAUCUCAGUGGCUUUUAUGCUGCUUACGGACCUCAUGUUUUUCCUCAAAUGAUUGGCAUAGCACCUGCACGGGUCCCAUUACCCCUCGAUCUUGCAGAAGAUGGACCGGUUUAUGUAAAUGCGAAACAGUAUCAUGGGAUCUUAAGGCGAAGACAGAUGCGUGCUAAGCUUGAGGCUCAAAACAAACUUGUCAAAGCUAGAAAGCCGUAUCUUCAUGAAUCACGGCAUCUUCACGCGGUAAAGAGGGUUAGAGGGUCCGGAGGGCGUUUUCUUAGCACAAAGAAGCUUCAAGAAUCAAUUCCAAACGACUUGAAUUCUUCUCAGGAUUUGGUUACACGUGAGGCUCACAUUUCUUCUUUCUUGAGCGUCCGACAGGAUGCUGCGCAUAACAGCGUCAUUUUCCAGCAGCAGCAGCAUGAUCACAGGGCCUCAAGUCUAUCCUCUCACAUGGCUGUUUCC
rnacentral:lncRNA from 1 species